UUGCUUGGGUACUCGAGUGGCGAACGGGUGAGUAACACGUGGGUGAUCUGCCCUGCACUUCGGGAUAAGCCUGGGAAACUGGGUCUAAUACCGGAUAGGACGAUGGUUUGGAUGCCAUUGUGGAAAGUUUUUUCGGUGUGGGAUGAGCUCGCGGCCUAUCAGCUUGUUGGUGGGGUAAUGGCCUACCAAGGCGUCGACGGGUAGCCGGCCUGAGAGGGUGUACGGCCACAUUGGGACUGAGAUACGGCCCAGACUCCUACGGGAGGCAGCAGUGGGGAAUAUUGCACAAUGGGCGCAAGCCUGAUGCAGCGACGCCGCGUGGGGGAUGACGGCCUUCGGGUUGUAAACUCCUUUCGCUAGGGACGAAGCGUUUUUGUGACGGUACCUGGAGAAGAAGCACCGGCUAACUACGUGCCAGCAGCCGCGGUAAUACGUAGGGUGCGAGCGUUGUCCGGAAUUACUGGGCGUAAAGAGCUCGUAGGUGGUUUGUCGCGUCGUUUGUGUAAGCCCGCAGCUUAACUGCGGGACUGCAGGCGAUACGGGCAUAACUUGAGUGCUGUAGGGGAGACUGGAAUUCCUGGUGUAGCGGUGGAAUGCGCAGAUAUCAGGAGGAACACCGAUGGCGAAGGCAGGUCUCUGGGCAGUAACUGACGCUGAGGAGCGAAAGCAUGGGUAGCGAACAGGAUUAGAUACCCUGGUAGUCCAUGCCGUAAACGGUGGGCGCUAGGUGUGAGUCCCUUCCACGGGGUUCGUGCCGUAGCUAACGCAUUAAGCGCCCC
rnacentral:rRNA from 1 species